AACACCUUAAGCAUACACGUAAUACGACGCCGUAUGAUGUAUAGGGAUAGUCGGGGGCGUCAGUAUUCAGCUGUCAGAGGUGAAAUUCUUGGAUUUGCUGAAGACUAACUACUGCGAAAGCAUUCGCCAAGGAUGUUUUCAUUAAUCAGGGAACGAAAGUUAGGGGAUCGAAGACGAUCAGAUACCGUCGUAGUCUUAACCAUAAACUAUGCCGACUAGGGAUCGGACGGUGUUUCUAUUAUGACCCGUUCGGCACCUUACGAGAAAUCAAAGUUUUUGGGUUCUGGGGGGAGUAUGGUCGCAAGGCUGAAACUUAGAGAAAUUGACGGAAGGGCACCACCAGGCGUGGAGCCUGCGGCUUAAUUUGACUCACCACGGGGAAACUCACCAGGUCCAGACAAAAUAAGGAUUGACAGAUUGAGAGCUCUUUCUUGAUCUUUUGGAUGGUGGUGCAUGGCCGUUCUUAGUUGGUGGAGUGAUUUGUCUGCUUAAUUGCGAUAACAAACGAAACCUCGGCCCUUAAAUAGCCCGGUCCGCAUUUGCGGGCCGCUGGCUUCUUAUGGGGACUAUCGGCUCAGGCCAAUGGAAGUGCGCGGCAAUAACAGGUCUGUGAUGCCCUUUAUGUUCUGGGCCGCACGCGCGCUACACUGACAAGGCCAGCGAGUACAUCACCUUGGCCGAGAGGUCUGGGUAAUCUUGUUAAACCCUGUCGUGCUGGGGAUAGCCGUUGACUUUAAAUUA
rnacentral:rRNA from 1 species